AUUGAACGCUGGCGGCAGGCCUAACACAUGCAAGUAGGACGCAGUUGCGAACGGGUGAGUAACGCGUAGGUAACUACCUAUUAGAGGGGGAUAACUAUUGGAAACGAUAGCUACUACCGCAUAAUAGUAGAUGGACCUGCGUUGUAUUAGCUAGUAGGUAGGGUAAUGGGCUACCUAGGCAACGAUACAUAGCCGACCUGGUAGGGUGAUCGGCCAAAAUGGGACUGAGACAAGGCCCAGACUCCUGCGGGAGGCAGCAGUAGGGAAACUUCGGCAAUGGGGGGAACCCUGACCGAGCAACGCCGCGUGAGUGAGGAAGGUUUUCGGAUCGUAAAGCUCUGUUGUUAAGGAAGCGGUACUUAACCAGAAAGGGACGGCUAACUACGUGCCAGCAGCCGCGGUAAUAC
rnacentral:rRNA from 1 species